rnacentral:rRNA from 1 species
UACAGAGGGUGCGAGCGUUAAUCGGAAUUACUGGGCGUAAAGCGUGCGUAGACGGUUAUUUAAGUCGGGUGUGAAAGCCCCGGGCUCAACCUGGGAAUUGCAUUCGAGACUGAAUAGCUAGGGUACGGUAGAGGGAAGUGGAAUUUCCGGUGUAGCGGUGAAAUGCGUAGAUAUCGGAAGGAACAUCAGUGGCGAAAGCGACUUCCUGGACCAGUACCGACGUUCAGGCACGAAAGCGUGGGGAGCAAACAGGAAUUAGAAACC